AACGUAGGAGGCGAGCGUUAUCCGGAGUUACUGGGCGUAAAGCGCGUGUAGGUGGCUUGUUACGUCUGCUGUGAAAGCUCCCGGCUUAACCGGGACUAGGCGGUAGAUACGGGCAAGCUAGAGGGUGACAGAGGAGCGUAGAAUUCCGGGUGUAGUGGUGAAAUGCGUAGAGAUCGUAAGGAAGACCAGUGGCGAAGGCGGGUCUCUGGACAGUUCCUGACACUGAGGCACGAAGGCCAGGGGAGCAAACGGG
rnacentral:rRNA from 1 species